rnacentral:rRNA from 1 species
GACGAACGCUGGCGGCGUGCCUAAUACAUGCAAGUAGAACGCAGUUGCGAACGGGUGAGUAACGCGUAGGUAACUGCCUCAUAGCGGGGGAUAACUAUUGGAAACGAUAGCUAAUACCGCAUACUGUGAGAUGCACCUGCGUUGUAUUCGCGAGUUGGUGAGGUAAAGGCUCACCAAGGCGACGAUACAUAGCCGACCUGAGAGGGUGAGCGGCCACACAGGGAGUUAGACAAGGACAAGGCAAAUACGGGAGGGAGCAGGAGGGAAGCAUAGGCAAUGGAAGGAAGUCUGACCGAGCAACGCCGUGUGAGGGAAGAAGGGUUUAGGAUCGUAAAGCUCUGGAGAUAGAGAAGCGGUAACUAACAAGAAAGGGACGGCUAACUACGUGCCAGCCGCAGCGGUAAUUC